rnacentral:rRNA from 1 species
UACGUAGGUGCCAAGCGUUAGGCGGAAUCACUGGGCUUAAAAGCGUGUGUAGGUGGAUCGUUAAGUGCUUUGUGAAAUCCCACGGCUCAACCGUGGAAUUGCUGGGCAUACUGGCGGUCUUGAGCCAUUCAGGGCUACUGGAACAAACGGUGGAGCGGUGAAAUGCGUAGAUAUCGUUUGGAACGCCAAGGUGAACAGGUAGCUAGGGAUGUGGCUGACACUGAGACACGAAAGCCAGGGAGCAAACGGG